rnacentral:rRNA from 1 species
AGUGAACGCUGGCGGUAGGCCUAACACAUGCAAGUCGAACGGCAGCACAGUAAGAGCUUGCUCUUACGGGUGGCGAGUGGCGGACGGGUGAGGAAUACAUCGGAAUCUACUUUUUCGUGGGGGAUAACGUUGGGAAACUUACGCUAAUACCGCAUACGACCUACGGGUGAAAGCAGGGGAUCUUCGGACCUUGCGCGAUUGAAUGAGCCGAUGUCGGAUUAGCUAGUUGGCGGGGUAAAGGCCCACCAAGGCGACGAUCCGUAGCUGGUCUGAGAGGAUGAUCAGCCACACUGGAGCUGAGACACGGUCCAGACUCCUACGGGAGGCAGCAGUGGGGAAUAUUGGACAAUGGGCGCAAGCCUGAUCCAGCCAUACCGCGUGGGUGAAGAAGGCCUUCGGGUUGUAAAGCCCUUUUGUUGGGAAAGAAAAGCAGCAGGUUAAUACCCCGCUGUUCUGACGGUACCCAAAGAAUAAGCACCGGCUAACUUCGUG